rnacentral:rRNA from 1 species
CCUACGGGCGGCAGCAGUGAGGAAUAUUGGUCAAUGGCCGAGAGGCUGAACCAGCCAAGUCGCGUGAGGGAAGACGGCCCUACGGGUUGUAAACCUCUUUUGUCGGGGAGCAAAGCGAACCACGUGUGGUUCAUUGAGAGUACCCGAAGAAAAAGCAUCGGCUAACUCCGUGCCAGCAGCCGCGGUAAUACGGAGGAUGCGAGCGUUAUCCGGAUUUAUUGGGUUUAAAGGGUGCGCAGGCGGAGGUGCAAGUCAGCGGUCAAAUUGCGGGGCUCAACCUCUUCGAGCCGUUGAAACUGGUUUUCUUGAGUGAGCGAGAAGUAUGCGGAAUGCGUGGUGUAGCGGUGAAAUGCAUAGAUAUCACGCAGAACUCCGAUUGCGAAGGCAGCAUACCGGCGCUCAACUGACGCUCAUGCACGAAAGUGUGGGUAUCGAACAGGAUUAGAUACCCGAGUAGUC